rnacentral:tRNA from 1 species
UAGCUCAGUUGGGAAAGAAUCUGCCUGCAAUGCAGGAGACCCAGGUUCAAUUCCUGG